rnacentral:rRNA from 1 species
CCUACGGGCGGCAGCAGUGGGGAAUAUUGCACAAUGGGGGAAACCCUGAUGCAGCGACGCCGCGUGAGUGAAGAAGUAUUUCGGUACGUAAAGCUCUAUCAGCAGGGAAGAAAAUGACGGUACCUGACUAAGAAGCCCCGGCUAACUACGUGCCAGCAGCCGCGGUAAUACGUAGGGGGCAAGCGUUAUCCAGAUUUACUGGGUGUAAAGGGAGCGUAGACGGCAGCGCAAGUCUGGAGUGAAAUCCCAUGGCUUAACCAUGGAACUGCUUUGGAAACUGUGCAGCUAGAGUGCAGGAGAGGUAAGCGGAAUUCCUAGUGUAGCGGUGAAAUGCGUAGAUAUUAGGAGGAACACCAGUGGCGAAGGCGGCUUACUGGACUGUAACUGACGUUGAGGCUCGAAAGCGUGGGGAGCAAACAGGAUUAGAUACCCCAGUAGUC